AUACGUAGGAUCCGAGCGUUGUCCGGAUUUACUGGGCGUAAAGGGUGCGUAGGCGGCGUGGUAAGUCUCAUGUGAAAUCUCCCGGCUCAACUGGGAGGGGUCAUGGGAUACUGCCAUGCUCGAGGGCAGUAGAGGAGAGCGGAAUUCCGGGAGUAGCGGUGAUAUGCGUAGAUACCCGGAGGAACACCCGUGGCGAAAGCGGCUCUCUGGGCUGUACCUGACGCUAAGGCACGAAAGCGUGGGGAGCAAACCGGAUUAGAAACCCCGGUAGUCC
rnacentral:rRNA from 1 species